rnacentral:rRNA from 1 species
GAUGAACGCUGGCGGCGUGCCUAAUACAUGCAAGUCGAGCGAACGGACGAGAAGCUUGCUUCUCUGAUGUUAGCGGCGGACGGGCGAGUAACACGUGGAUAACCUACCUAUAAGACUGGGAUAACUUCGGGAAACCGGAGCUAAUACCGGAUAAUAUUUUGAACCGCAUGGUUCAAAAGUGAAAGACGGUCUUGCUGUCACUUAUAGAUGGAUCCGCGCUGCAUUAGCUAGUUGGUAAGGUAACGGCUUACCAAGGCAACGAUGCAUAGCCGACCUGAGAGGGUGAUCGGCCACAAUGGAACUGAGACACGGUCCAGACACCUACGGGAGGCAGCAGUAGGGAAUCUUCCGCAAUGGGCGAAAGCCUGACGGAGCAACGCCGCGUGAGUGAUGAAGGUCUUCGGAUCGUAAAACUCUGUUAUUAGGGAAGAACAUAUGUGUAAGUAACUGUGCACAUCUUGACGGUACCUAAUCAGAAAGCCACGGCUAACUACGUG